rnacentral:tRNA from 1 species
GUGUGGCUCAAUGGUAGGGCACUUGCUUAGCAUGUGUGAAGCCCUGGGUUUGAUCCCCAGCAC